AAUCCAUGUUGAGGAUAUUUCAGCAGGAGGUCCUUGAACCUUUCCUAUGUCUUAAAAAGAGACUUCAACUCCGAUUGCAUAAAUAAGGAGAUUUCAUUCCUAAGCUU